CGCAUCUGUGCAUGCAGCAUAUCAAUAAGCGGAGGAAAAGAAACUAACAAGGAUUCCCCUAGUAACGGCGAGUGAAGCGGGAAGAGCUCAAAUUUGAAAUCCUAGAGGGUUUCCCUUUACGAAUUGUAGUUUAAAGAAGUGUUUUCUGUUGAGGUUUUGGUAAAAGUUCUUUGGAAUAGGACAUCAUAGAGGGUGAGAAUCCCGUAUUUGACCUUUACUUUCAACUUUGUGAUACACUUUCAAAGAGUCGGAUUGUUUGGGAAUGCAGUCCAAAAUGGGUGGUAAAUUUCAUCUAAAGCUAAAUAUUGGCGAGAGACCGAUAGCGAACAAGUACCGUGAGGGAAAGAUGAAAAGAACUUUGAAAAGAGAGUUAAACAGUACGUGAAAUUGUCAAAAGGGAAGCGUUUGACACCAGUGUUGUUUUUCUGAAAAUCAAUUAAAGAACUGUUUAUGCUAAGUUGUUUAGACUUUAUCAGCUAUCUGUUUAGUUUUGAGCUUUUCUUUAAUGCACUUUUCAGUUAACAAGUCAACAUCAAUUUCUUUUGCUGUAAAGAAGCUUGAGGAAGGUGGCUUGAGAUUCGUCUUAAGUGUUUAUAGCCUCUUGCCUAUGCAGUCGGAGAGAUUGAGGUCUGCAGCGUAGAUCCUUCGGGGCUAAAUGCAUUUGUGCUAAGUUAUAGCAUUUUAUAGACAACUUGUUGACUAUGAUUUGUCUUGUAGCUUACUCGCUUAUGUUAUUUUACCUACGCUUAGGAUGUUGAACGCGCACAGAGUCUC
rnacentral:rRNA from 1 species